rnacentral:lncRNA from 1 species
AUACAUCUAACUGUUUUUUGAACAGUCUGAACUUGGUAUGUUGGGAGCUAACAUCAAAGAACUAUUUUCCCCCAUUCACAUGAGGACUGUGUCAAAUCUGCCUCCUAUCACUUAAGGAGGUUUUGGGAAAAUCAUUCACUUUCGUUUCUAUCACUUCCAGUAACUUAACAGUACGGCUCAGAUGUAAAACUCCCCUUUUACUUGUUCCUGUCACUUCAGCCCAAGCUUGUCUCAUGAUCUAAAAAUCUGUAAUAGGGAAGAGGGUGUGGUCUGAUCUUUCCCCUUCUAUUUUACCUCAUCUAGUUCCAGAUUCUCAAAUCAUAUAGGGCCAGGAGGAGAGGACCAAAUUAUGUCUUAGUUACCUGGCUGCUGGUGGUUGUCUCUGUUUUUUGUAGAGCACAGGUGUAACGGCUUUCAGGGUGGGGGUGGGGAACUCUCCACUGAGUAGUGUGCUGAUGUGGGAGAUCUCUGGCUUGGCCUCUUCCGGCCCUCCUCCCACUCAGCUCCCACCAAUGAUGUAUCAAUAAAACCUCUUGCUGCUGGAGAUCUGCUUACCUGGUGGCCAGGGUGGCAAGACAAGUGAAGCCUGACUAUGCCUGCAGCAUCCACUGUGGAAACUACUACAUCUUUGCCAUGCCAAACACUUCUGCUUAAGCAUGCAGGUGAGAAGGGAAGAUACAUGUAAUCUGCAUGUCUGCCACCAUUCCUUGUUACCCUUUUUCAUAUCCCAUGAGCACAGCACUCCAGCGGACCUACCCAAAAUAUGUGGGAGUUCAGUGAAACUCAAACAGCAUGCUUCUGGUCAGCCUAUACAGUCUCUGUCCUGGUGAGGAGCAUGAUCACCAACAGGCAAGAUCUUCUGGCCUUGAAGUUUCGCUUGAGUUAAAAGAGCUCAUCUCAGGACUUUCUGAAUUUUCAGCCCAUAUGACAUGGAAGAAGAGUUAGAAGGGGAAUCUGACUGCUUGGAUCAGGGACUGUCUGGCUGGUGGAACUUGAAUGUAUACAACACUCUUCAUUUGCAUGUUUUGACAUUUUAAAAAAUGUUUUCACUUUCCUUAUCUACUUUGACUCUAAUAACAUCCUGAAAGGUGCUGUUGUCCUCUUUCUGGACCUUAGAGAUGUACAGUGCGCCACUCUGAGGAUCAAGUCUGACCCUGCCUUUAAAUUUGGAUUCAAAGUACUUAGAUUUUCUGGAAUCCCAUUCUACAAUCUUCUGGUCGAAAGUAUAAAACCAGCAUUGGCCAGCUUGAGAAAUAAAGGGACAGAGUACAAAAGAGAGAAAUUUUAAAGCUGAGCAUCUGGGGGAGACAUCACAUGUCGUCUGCAGGUGUACCCAACAGCUCCGAAGAGACAGUGACAUCGAGAACGGGCCAUGAUGACGAUGGCGGUUUUGUCGAAAAGAAAAGGGGGAAAUGUGGGGAAAAGCAAGAGAGAUGAGAUUGUUACUGUGUCUGUAUAGAAAGAAGUAGACAUAGGAGACUCCAUUUUGUUCUGUACUAAGAAAAAUUCUUCUGCCUUGAGAUGCUGUUAAUCUAUGACCUUACCCCCAACCCCGUGCUCUCUGAAACAUGUGCUGUGUCAAACUCAGGGUUAAAUGGAUUAAGGGCGGUGCAAGAUGUGCUUUGUUAAACAGAUGCUUGAAGGCAGCAUGCUCAUUAAGAGUCAUCACCACUCCCUAAUCUCAAGUACCCAGGGACACAAACACUGCGAAAGACCGCAGGGACCUCUGCCUAGGAAAGCUAGGUAUUGUCCAAGGUUUCUCCCCAUGUGAUAGUCUGAAAUAUGGCCUCGUGGGAAGGGAAAGACCUGACCAUCCCCCAGACCAACACCCGUAAAGGGUCUGUGCUGAGGAGGAUUAGUAUAAGAGGAAAGCAUGCCUCUUGCAGUUGAGAGAAGAGGAAGACAUCUGUCUCCUGCCCAUCCCUGGGCAAUGGAAUGUCUCAGUAUAAAACCCGAUUGAACAUUCCAUCUACUGAGAUAGGGAAAAACUGCCUUAGGGCUGGAGGUGGGACAUGUGGGCAGCAAUACUGCUUUGUAAAGCAUUGAGAUGUUUAUGUGUAUGCAUAUCUAAAAGCACAGCACUUGAUCCUUUACCUUGUCUAUGAUGCAAAGACCUUUGUUCACGUG